rnacentral:rRNA from 1 species
CCUACGGGGAGCAGCAGUGGGGAAUAUUGGGCAAUGGGCGCAAGCCUGACCCAGCAACGCCGCGUGAAGGAAGAAGGCUCUCGGGUUUUAAACUUCCUUUUAGAGGGAAGAGCAGAAGACGGUACCUCUUGAAUAAGCCACGGCUAACUACGUGCCAGCAGCCGCGGUAAUACGUAGGUGGCAAGCGUUGUCCGGAUUUACUGGGUGUAAAGGGCGUGUAGCCGGGCUGACAAGUCAGAUGUGAAAUCUGGGGGCUCAACCCCCGAAUUGCAUUUGAAACUGUUGGUCUUGAGUAUCGGAGAGGCAGGCGGAAGUCCUGGUGUAGCGGUGAAAUGCGUAGAUAUUAGGAGGAACACCAGUGGCGAAGGCAGCCUGCUGGACGACAACUGACGGUGAGGCGCGAAAGCGUGGGGAGCAAACAGGAUUAGAUACCCGUGUAGUC